UAAUUUUUGUAACUUCUCUCCUGUGAUGUUUUUGUGUCUCUUAGCCCAUGUAACUCCCAAGCCCAUUAGAAAACAAAACAAUAACUGAUCUAUUUUACCUAUACUAUAUUUUGAAUAAAAUAAAUACAAUAAAUAAGUUUCUCAAAUAGAAUAGGAGUUCAAAGUAGAAAAUUCGGACUUUCUGCUUCUGGCCAUAUUCUGGGCUGAUUGGAAUGUCAAUAAAUU
rnacentral:lncRNA from 1 species